UACGGAGGAUGCGAGCGUUAUCCGGAUUUAUUAGGUUUAAAGGGUGCGCAGGCGGCGCUUCAAGUCGGCGGUUAAAGUUCCGGGCUCAACCCGGUGAUGCCGUCGAUACUGCUGUGCUGGAGUGGGAUCGAGGCAUGCGGAAUGCGUGGUGUAGCGGUGAAAUGCAUAGAUAUCACGCAGAACUCCGACUGCGAAGGCAGCGUGCCAGGUCCCUACUGACGCUGAGGCACGAAAGCGUGGGUAUCGAACA
rnacentral:rRNA from 1 species